UGUGACCCAUCUAGCCUCUGGAGGACUCAGCAAGCACGACCAAUUACCACACAACUUGACACGUACGUGCUCGCAAAUUGAACUUGCUAUUGGUUAAUGGAGGUAAAGCCCGCCCACCAGCUCCGGGCGGCCCCUUUAAGAGAAAGCCGCCGCCGUUUUUUCAGCCUUUCAGAGACUGCAGAGCCCGGAAGAUCCCAGCUGAGGACGUCGGAUCUCAUCGUCCAUGCUGCUUUGCCACGCCAUUCCCCUCAAUAAAGUGGUUUGCUCUCAACCUUGGUGUCGGUGUGUGCUGUGGGCGGCGCGCUGUCUUUGAGCCCCCGCCGCGCCUCGGAGUAGCGCCGGGGGUCAAUCUGCAGCGCCAGAGCACGUGCUUGCGCAUAACUGGGGCCGCCUGCUCCCUCCGCCGGCGGCCCUUUUAACCGCGAGCUACAAUAAAUAACCUGGCUGCCAGGCUGGGCAGUUUUCCAGGUGUUUGCCACGACAGGCCUCAUCCCGUAAUACCAAGGCUGGAAUGGCGUGUUAGGGGAGUGGUGGCUGACAGAGAUACUCAGACUCCGCUGCGUAACACAUUGCACACUGACACAUUCUCUGGAAGUGUGGAAGGCCGCGUAUGAAGUGUAGAAGUGAAAAAGUCCCACUGUGCACCGGCUGCCUGAAG